rnacentral:misc_RNA from 1 species
GAUGAAGAACGUAGCGAAAUGCGAUAAGUAAUGCGAAUUGCAGAAUUCAGUGAAUCAUCGAAUCUUUGAACGCACAUUGCGCCCCUUGGUACUCCAUGGGGCAUGCCUGUUCGAGCGUCAUUUACACCCUCAAGCUCAGCUUGGUGUUGGGCGUCUGUCCCGCUUCGUGCGCGGACUCGCCUCAAAUGCAUUGGCAGCGGUCUUGCCAGCUUCUCGCGCAGCACAUUGCGCUUCUAGAGGCUUUGGCGGAUCGGCGUCCAUCAAGUACACCCACAGUUUGACCUCGGAUCAGGUAGGGAUACCCGCUGAACUUAAGCAUAUCAAUAAGCGGAGGA